AACGAACGCUGGCGGCAGGCUUAACACAUGCAAGUCGAGCGAAGACUUCGGUCUUAGCGGCGGACGGGUGAGUAACGCGUGGGAACAUACCCUUUGCUACGGAACAGUCCCGGGAAACUGGGUUUAAUACCGUAUACGCCCUUCGGGGGAAAGAUUUAUCGGCAAAGGAUUGGCCCGCGUUGGAUUAGGUAGUUGGUGAGGUAAUGGCCCACCAAGGCGUCGACGGGUAGCCGGCCUGAGAGGGUGACCGGCCACACUGGGACUGAGACACGGCCCAGACUCCUACGGGAGGCAGCAGUGGGGAAUCUUAGACAAUGGGGGCAACCCUGAUCUAGCCAUGCCGCGUGAGUGAUGAAGGCCUUAGGGUUGUAAAGCUCUUUCAGCUGGGAAGAUAAUGACGGUACCAGCAGAAGAAGCCCCGGCUAACUCCGUGCCAGCCGC
rnacentral:rRNA from 1 species